CCCUUAGAUGUUCUGGGCUGCACGCGCGCUACACUGAUGCACUCAACGAGUUUCUGACCUUGUCCGAGAGGAUUGGGUAAUCUUUUUAAAAUGCAUCGUGAUGGGGAUAGAUUAUUGCAAUUAUUAAUCUUCAACGAGGAAUUCCUAGUAAGCGCGAGUCAUCAGCUCGUGCUGAUUACGUCCCUGCCCUUUGUACACACCGCCCGUCGCACCUACCGAUUGAAUGGUCCGGUGAAAUCUCGGGACGGCGGCUUGGUCGCUUGCGUCCGACUGCUGAAACUUGAUUAAACCAUAUCAUUUAGAGGAAGGUGAAGUCGUAACA
rnacentral:rRNA from 1 species